GCGCCGGUGGCGGAACUGGCAGACGCGCCGGCUUUAGGUGCCGGUGUCUAACGACGUGUGGGUUCGAGUCCCACCCGGCGCACCA
rnacentral:tRNA from 3 species